rnacentral:misc_RNA from 1 species
CUCAUAUCUGUAUUUUUACAGUGCAGUGACAUCAUAGGGAAAACGGGCGCCGUUACACCGACAAUGCUACAUCGGGCAUGCUUUGAAGGCAACGAGGCCAUAGUGUGGAUGAUGGCCGAAACUGGAGCCAACGUUGAAGAAGUAGACGAAGAUGGCAAUAGGGCGCUGCACUAUGCAACUUAUGGUGAUAAACCGGACGUCAUAGAACUGCUGCUGAAUUUGGGCGCGGACAUUAACGCAACCAAUAAGAAAAAGUUUACAGCACUGCAAGUUGCAGUCAAAAAGAAACAUGUCAACUGCGUUCGCAUUCUGAUCAACAAGUUUCCAGAACGUCUUGAUGUCAACAUUCAGGAUGGUGUAGGUGAUACACCCCUCCAUGAUGCUAUCAAACAUGCAAGCCCGGAAAUUACUGACAUGCUCGUGAACUUUCCCUCCGUGGACUUUACCUUGUGUAAUGAGAGUGGAUACAACCUCCUUCAUCAAGCAGCUGUAACUGGAAACAACUUCGCCACAGAGAUGAUCCUUUCGAAAAAACCAGACCUUGUGGACGUGAAGGACAGUGACGGCUGCACUGCCCUACAUUUGGCAGCUCGUGCAAAUAACUAUAGUGUUGCGAGGACUUUGGUUACCCAGGGCAAGUGCACCGUUGACCUCAAGAACACACAACAACAGACGGCCCUCUUCACAGCUGUAUUCACAGGAAACUGUGCAUUGAUCGAGCUGUUGCUCGAGGCGGGUGCAGACAUCAAUACAACAAACAAGGACGGCGACACGCCCAUGCAUAUGACCUUGGCGAUGCGAUCUCACUUACGGGUGCAGUCCCUAGACCCAUCGGAAGUUGAGGCCAUAACUGCGAUUGUAAAGAAACUCUUGGAGAACCCUCAACCUGGAGUUGACAGCACUUUGGCAUUGGCAUGUUUCUUGGCCGCCAAAGGUGCAGACCUCCACCGAAAAAAUAAGUAUGGAACGACGCCACUUGAAAUGGCUGGCAGCGCUGCUGUGGUCGAACUUCUCUUGUCCUGGCAAACACAAAAGGGGGAUGCAGAAAAUAAAGUUGGUUCCACAAAAUCAGCCGCAGCUGCUGGGGAUGCUGGAUCGAGCUCAUACAUUUGCAAGAUCUGCCUUGAAGCUGAUGCCGAUGUGUGGUUCGAGCCCUGUGGCCAUCAUCUAUACUGCUCGGAGUGCUGUCGACGCAUGAAACGCUGCCUUGAGUGCAGUGUACCAAUCACGGGGAGGGUUGCAGUCUUUCAUCUGAAAGCCUAGUGGCCGUUUUCAACAAAGAUUUCCAGUGCCCCCACGUCUGACUCACUCAAGAGUUCUUUCACGAGCACAUUCUCUCUCUGACUCCUGAAAGAUUCGGCGGCAGCAGCGAAGCAGGCAGGCAAGCUCAGAGGGAGCUCGAGGCAAGGUUGCAGCAGCUGGAGGAAGUCCACAGCUGUGG